rnacentral:lncRNA from 1 species
CGAUUGCAUCUCUACUUUCGAGUAUCCAUGCAUCGAAUUCCUCGAUAGCUUCUUCAGUAACCGUUCCACUUCAUCCUUCCGGGUUCCUGCGAAUUUAUUGAGGCGAGACGCUGAAAAGAUCUCGAUGGCUCCGAUUCGGCGGAGGUUCCGCCAGUGGUCUCCGUAAGGUGACCCUACCAUCGUAGUGUGGUUGUAGCCGAUGUGUUUUCCGAAUAGCAACCGAGGACGGUUGGCUAAAACGAUGUCGUUCUUAGUGAAGCACUCCUCCACUGCUGGCAAUGACGAGACGACCACAACGAGGCGAGAUCCAAACCGGAGAGAGAUUAAUGGUCCGUAUUUUGCAGAGAGUUUGUGUAAAGUUCGGUGGAGGGGGAUUUUGAUAUAAUGGAGGUGGCCGAUGAUGGGGAGAGACGGAGGACUGGGGGGUAAGUUUGUAGGGCGGGUGCGGAGGUUGAAGGCGAAGAGGAGAGAGAUAAUAGAGAGAAAUAGGUAAAGGAGAGAGCAACAUUCCAUGGCGUUUUUGUUAAAGAAGAAGUAUGUUUAAAUUUGGAGUUGGGGAGUGAAGAUGAAGAUAUGGGUACAUGGGUGAGGUAUUUAUGGUAUUGAAGCCACGACAACGACAUUGUGUAAUCACAUUCAGCUAUUUUAAACUAAAUAUAAUUCCAUCAAAUAUCUUUCUUCUUCAUUUCCUUUCCCAACAUUUUCAAAUCUGUUUACUCCUCAGACCUUAGUUAUAGAAAAACCAAUAUCAUAGGUUUAAUCAAUUAUUUAUUUGGCCAACUUUUCGUAAUGUUUCUAAUGCUUUUGUUUUUGUGCACCCAUGGAAUGAAGAGUAUAAACGUCCAUUUCUUUCUUUUAUCGCUUUUUUAGUAUUAGUCAUGUCAUAUGCAAAUAUGUUUUUGUAACAUCUUUUGUGUGGAUGGAUUUGGUUUCAUUUCUUUCUUCUUCUUUUCAUUCUUUUCUUCCUGUUUUUGUUUAGUUUGUGCUUUGACAUACGUUCAAAUUUAAUACAUUUGCAAACAUAAUAUAAUAAAUAAUAAUAAUAAAAUAAUUAAAAAAAGCUUAGAGUUAGAUAUGUUUAGUUGUAAUGCUAGUUUAGCUAAAGUUUAUUUAUUCAUUUAUAAAUCUUCUCGACAUAUGUUCGUUCAAGGUUUGAUAUAUCUUUUAAAAAUAUUGAUAACUGACACUCCUCUUCUCUUUUUCAUGUCUUUUAUCCUACCUCAUAAUAGUAACUAAGGAACGGACAAAUAGACCAUAAUAUAUAUGCAUUACUAUUCAAAUUAAAUCUUAGUUACUUAAUAUUCUACCAUACAACAAAACAACCCUACAUUAACACACCUCCUUUUAAGAUAAAGAUGUCACUUUCUUUUUUUUUUUUUUUUUGUAAAUUAUUAAAUAUAAACAAUACCCUUAAACAAUCCAAUCAUUUUUCAGAAUUUUUAGUUAAAAAUGUUGUGGAUGAUAGGGCGAGGUUUGCACAUGGCUUCCAGUGGCACCAUCUUGGGCAUAGUGACGCCUCUUCCUUCCGACAUGUCCACUUUCUCGUCACCAAUCCUUUCCCACUCGUAGCAUUGAAUUAGCGCCGCCAGAGUCAACCCCACCACUCGUUGAGCCAUGCCCGAGCCGGGGCAAGCUCGUCGUCCGACUCCAAAUGGGAUCAACUUUGAAAUAUGAUGAUCAAUUGAUUCUGACUUUUGGUGUCUUUCUGGUUUGAAUAGUGUGGGUUCUUCCCAUUGAUUAGGGUCUCUAUGGAUAGCCCAUGCAUUAACCAAUACAAUCGUGUCACGUGGUAUUUUGUAUCCACUAAUUGUACAAUCAUUGGAGGUUAGAUGUGGCACUAGCAUUGGAGCAGCUGGGUUCAAUCGAAGAGUCUCGGAGAUGAUUCCUUGAAGAUAUGGUAACUUGGAGACGUCUGAUUCUUCCACUAGUCGUUUUUCUCCAAUUUGAGUGUCUAGCUCUUCUCUAGCCUUUUUUAGUACCUCCGGAUUGUUGAGCAAGUGAGCUAAAGCCCAUUCAAUUGUCACCGCUGAUGUGUCUGUUCCGGCUAGUAGUAACACCUGCACAUUUAUUUUUAUUUUGAGUUUGACAUAAUACAUACAAAAGACAUAUCAACAAAAACAAAAAUAAGUCAUAAAAAGUUAAUUAGGACUAAAUAUGAAAAAAUUAGUCACUAGAAUCUAGAUAUACCUUAUUGCAUAUACCUUCUAACAAGAACAAUAUCUAAAUAGAAGAAAAAAUAAAUAUAUAAUCAUAAGUUGAUAGUUGCUAAAAGAUAAAUUUUCCCUUUUCACUUUAAAAAUAUCUUUUAUAUUAUUCUUUUUUCACUUUGUAAUAAUUGGGUUAGAUCGUCAACACGAAUUUAGCUCAACCGACAUCUGUAUGUACCUGUGGACAAGAGAUUUCAUGUUCAAAUCUCCACCUCUGCAUUUACUACAAUACAUUUUAAAAAUAAAUUGAGGUGGAUCUAUAGAGAUGUGGGGCUACACUCUAGUGUUCCUCUUAUUUAGAUGCAUGUUGAUCAUAACUUCAGAUACCCGACCUAAGAUGGAAAAUGCUCACUUCAACCAAAAAGAAAAGAAACCUUAUAAAACAUAAUUUAAAAAGAGAGAGGAGCUUUUUGCGAUGUGUUUAGAGAAUUGGUUUGGGCAAGGGGUUGAUGCACCAAAGUGCUUUUUCUAUUCUUGAUCACUAAAUAUAAAUUAAUGGUAAUUCUAUCUCUGCAUUAAGGCCAAGUGCGUGCCUAUUAUUAUUAAUUUUAGGUGAAGACUGACUUUUUUUUCUUUCAAAGCAAACACUUGUGCAUGCUACUUUAAGUAUGAUUGAAUAAUUAGAUGUAAAAGUAUUAAGAAAUUUUUAACCACCAGUAUGAUUGAAUAAUUAGAUGUAAAUAGACAAAAGAUUAGUGUAUAUAUCUAAUUAUUUUAUUUUUCAAUAAAUUAAUUUCACCCGAUCGUAGGAGGAGAAAAUACUUCUUAAGUAAAUACUUUUAUGAAUAAGUUAUUUAAAUAAUUUAAUUAUUUUUUUAUAACGAAACAUGAAUGGAAAAUAAAAUUAAAACCAUGUAUAAAAUAAAGCAAAAAGUUUUAAAUAGACUAUAGAGACUUUUUUUUUUACUAAGUUUUUGUUUGAUUAUUUUUUAUUUUUAAUCGUAUAAUAUGCUUUUCUAUAUAUAAAUUAGUAAAUUCAAGUCAAUCGGACAAAAAAUUAAUUUGAAUUAAUUAGGUAGAAAUAUAAUAUAAGAGACUAAGUGUUUGCUCCGAAUAAAAAUUUACUUUUAUUAUAAUUGGAUAAAUGUUGUAAAUUAUAAUAAAAUUUCGAUAACUAAUUUUUAUAACAUUUUUCAACUUUCUCCUGUUUAUAAUUUUUUUUUAUUAAUAACCUUUUUUUUUUUUACUAACUUAUGAUGAUAAUUGUGGUCAACCUCCAGUACUUAUAAUUGUUUUACACUAAUUGCCGUGCCUACCUUCAAUCACAAUUUAUUAUUGAAAAGAUUCAAAUACUGAUAAAUAUUUUUUUAAUAAAAGAAAAAAUAACUCAAAAUAUUUUUUUAAUAAAAGAACCAUUAGUUUUUAAUUUAUUUUUUAUAACUUGAUAGAAAUUUAGUUAAAAAGAUGCAAAUAAAAAGAAAACAUUGAAGAGAGAGAGAAGAGGGAGGAAAUAAAAGAAAAGAAGAAAGAAAGGGAAAGAGAGCCUAAACGGCAGUUAUAAGAAAACGAGAACAAAAAGAAGAAAAUAGAGAAAUCUAGUGGUUAAAAAUAUAAUUUUAGAAAAAGUGAAAUGAAGAGACACGCGUCAAUAAAGCCAAAACAAGAACCACUAAAUUAUUUUCAAAACAGUCCCUGUACCUAAUUAUUUUUCAAAACAACCCUUGUGCCUAAUUAUUUUUCAAAACAAUCCUCCUACCUAAUUACUUUUCAAAACUGCUUUAUUUUCUUCAAAUAACCCCAGAUUUGAUGACCCACUUGAUUGGACCCAAAAAUGAAAGAAGACAGUGGUUAGAGGUCCCUCAAGCUGCAGACCACCACUUUGAAUCUUUGUUGCGAUUCUCAUAUAUUAUAUAUUUUUGUAUCCAUUUCGGGGUUUAUCCUAAAGAGAAGGAAAAAAACGCCAAAUUCUUGAGCAGGAUAAUUAUAACCGAAUGGUAAUGGAGAUUGAAAAUGUUUGUUAAACGAAGAUUGAAAGUGAGUCAGAAAUUAUGGAAAUUUAUUACCAGAAUGAUUCCUUUGAUUAUUUGAUCUCCAUAGUACUCAGGCUCCGUUUCCUGCAGAGAUAGCAAAUGAUCGAUCAUUGUGUUCCUUUCUUCUUCCUUAUUGCUCCGAUGUUCAUCAAUCAAUCCCUGCAAAAACCCGUCCAUCCUCUUCGCAAGUCUCGAAACCUUCCUCUUAUAUCCAUUCGGGAUCCAAUUCAUCAUCGGAAUGAAAUCUCCCGGAUUCGAUACUCCUCCCAUCGACACGAUCUGUUUAAUCAGCUCUCUCGACUGUCUCGCUUCCUCCACAUCCCUCACUUCCUCACCGAAAUACCUCUUUCCGGCCGCCAUCCUCAUCGAUAUGUUAAACGUCAGUUCUGAAAUCGACGAUUGCAUCUCUACUUUCGAGAAUCCAUACAUCGAAUUCCUCGAUAGCUUCUUCAGUAACCUUUCCACUUCAUCCUUCCGGGUUCCUGCGAACUUAUUGAGGCGAGACGCUGAAAAAAUCUCGAUGGCUCCGAUUCGGCGGAGGUUCCGCCAGUGGUCUCCGUAAGGUGACGCUACCAUUGUAGUGUGGUUGUAGCCGACGUGUUUGCCGACUAGCAACCGAGGACGGUUGGCUAAAACGAUAUCGUUCUUAGUGAAGCACUCCUCCACUGCCGGCAACGACGAGACGACCACAACGAGGCGAGACCCAAACCAGAGAGAG